rnacentral:rRNA from 1 species
AUUUCAAGGAAAAUCGCCUUGAAUACACCAGUUCUCGUCAGAUCACUGGAGUUAAGCAACGUCGAGCGUGGAUAGUACUUGGAUGGGUUACCACCUGGGAAUACACGAGAUAGUGGCU